AUGUCACCAAGCGACUCAAAAUGGCCAUUCGUGCUGAAAAGAAGGCAAUAUCCAUUAUCAGUGUGCUUUGCAAUGACAAUAAACAAGAGCCAAGGUCAGUCCUUAAACAAGGUAGGCAUAUAUUUGCCUAAGCAAGUAUUCUGCCAUGGACAACUAUAUGUGGCACUAUGAAGAGUGACAAACAAGGAAGGAUUGAAGGUGCUGAUCGAUGAUGAAGAGUGUCCAACCGAAGAUGUCGCAAAGAAUAUUGGUUACAAAGAGAUUUUUUAA
rnacentral:rRNA from 1 species